rnacentral:rRNA from 1 species
AACGAACGCUGGCGGCGUGGAUAAGACAUGCAAGUCGAGCGGGAACUUUCGCUGUAGCAAUACAGUGAAAGUUCUAGCGGCGAACGGGUGCGUAACACGUGGACAAUCUGCCUUAAAGUGGGGGAUAGCUCGGCGAAAGCCGAAUUAAUACCGCAUGUGAUGAGAGACGACAUCGUCUUGAAAUCAAAGCCGGGGCAACCUGGCGCUUUUUGAGGAGUCCGCGGCCUAUCAGCUAGUUGGUGAGGUAACGGCUCACCAAGGCUAUGACGGGUAGCUGGUCUGAGAGGACGACCAGUCACACUGGAACUGAGACACGGUCCAGACACCGUACGGGUGGCAGCAGUCGAGAAUUUUUGACAAUGGGGAAACCCUGAUCGAG